UACGAAGGGGGCUAGCGUUGCUCGGAAUCACUGGGCGGAAAGGGUGCGUAGGCGGGUCUUUAAGUCAGGGGUGAAAUCCUGGAGCUCAACUCCAGAACUGCCUUUGAUACUGAGGAUCUUGAGUUCGGGAGAGGUGAGUGGAACUGCGAGUGUAGAGGUGAAAUUCGUAGAUAUUCGGAAGAACACCAGUGGCGAAGGCGGCUCACUGGUCCGGUACUGACGCUGAUGUGCGAAAGCGUGGGGAGCAAACAGG
rnacentral:rRNA from 1 species